AGGCAGAGAGCAGGAGGCAGAGGAAAGUUUCUGGGAUGUCAAACCAGUUCCCAUAAGCACUUUAGAGAAGCACCUGGCGCGGGACUAGGCUGCCAUGAUCCUCCCUUUGGACUCCAUGGUCAGGGUCAUUGCAGAGAUCCUCCAUUUGGACCCCGCCUACCUGAAGGGCCUAUACCUUGGUCAGGCAUCUUAGAAGGACUGCCGUGAGCCAUGUCAUAAAAAGGAGAAAACAUCACAGUGGACAGCCCCAAUUCCUGCAUAUACAGAUGGGAAACUUAGGUGCACUGCUUCUCUGAUUGACUCCAAAUACUACAGCACCACACCCUUCUAGACUGGUGGAUGUGCAGCUCCACUUCUUUGCAGGGAGGACACACAAUAGCAGAAUAUCCGUGGCCCAACUUUCUGGAGCAUCAGUAUUACUACAAGAUUUGGAAGAAGCAAAGUUAGGUCAUUUCCAAGGUAAGGAAUUAAAAACUUAAAACUAAGAUGAGGUGGGAAAGUCAUAUACC